rnacentral:rRNA from 1 species
GGGCUGCAGUCGAGAAGCUUCCGCAAUGGGCGAAAGCCUGACGGAGCGACGCCGCGUGAGUGAAGAAGGCCCUAUGGGUUGUAAAACUCUGUCAGAUCGGGAAGAAAAUUCCGCGGUUAACACCCGCGGAACUUGACGGUACCAUCAGAGGAAGCACCGGCUAACUCCGUGCCAGCAGCCGCGGUAAUACGGAGGGUGCAAGCGUUGUUCGGAUUCACUGGGUAUAAAGGGUGCGCAGGCGGCCUGGUAAGUCAGAGGUGAAAUAUGACGGCUCAACCGUCAAACUGCCUCUGAAACUGCCUGGCUUGAGUCCGGGAGAGGAAGGUGGAAUUCCAGGUGUAGCGGUGAAAUGCGUAAAUAUCUGGAGGAACACCGGUGGCGAAGGCGGCCUUCUGGCCCGGAACUGACGCUCAUGCACGAAAGCCAGGGGAGCGAACGGGAUUAGAUACCCCGGUAGUC